rnacentral:snRNA from 1 species
GGUUGUGAGGGCUAUCUGGCUGUGACAUCCUUUAUCCCAUUGAUUACCAAAGUUAAUUCAGCUGAUCUGGCUGGCUUGUCAGGUGCCCCCUUCCUCCCUCACCAAUCCAUCCCAAAGCUCUGCACUGGGUCAUAGAGGACAACAUCCCCAAAUAGAGGAGGAUCAGUCUUUGGUCAAGGGUAUAUAAGUAGCUUCACUUCUCUUCUAGAACCUCCAGACAAGCUCUGAAAUCCUAACAUCCCAUUUUUAUUUUUAAAAUGAAUUAAGUGAUUACACAUU